rnacentral:rRNA from 1 species
UACGUAGGGCGCAAGCGUUAUCCGGAAUUAUUGGGCGUAAAGAGCUCGUAGGCGGUUUGUCGCGUCUGCCGUGAAAGUCCGGGGCUCAACUCCGGAUCUGCGGUGGGUACGGGCAGACUAGAGUAUUGCAGGGGAGACUGGAAUUCCUGGUGUAGCGGUGAAAUGCGCAGAUAUCAGGAGGAACACCGGUGGCGAAGGCGGGUCUCUGGGCAAUAACUGACGCUGAGGAGCGAAAGCGUGGGGAGCGAACAGG